AGUCCCACCAACCAACAGACAUUUUGAUUGGUCACAGCAGGAACAGCACAGGUGUCUCUAAUUUUAUUAACAACGCCUCAGACAAAAUCCAAGAGUCUCCGUGAGCCGUGACAGUGAAGUCUGCAGCAACAGGGCCCCUGGGCGUCGUGUUGUGAAUUAAACCUGUGCCUCUCCUGGUCCAGAUUGAAAAAGGGGGCUUUUGUUGGAGGACACAACGCGAUGAUGUAAAAGAAAUAACUUUCUCAACAUAUGGAGACAACAAAGUGAAGCAAAUGAAGUGCAGGGAGAGAACGUUUCCCUCUGCCCUUCAGCCCAUACAAUAGAUCUUUGUAAUAUGAGGCCUCCUGAAGGACAAACAAAAAGCUACAUAGAGGGUGAAGAGCCACAUCUGGAUGACACACCACUGCCCUGCAUCAAAGGACAGCUGCGCAGGUGGUGGGAGAGAGCAAUGGGACACGCACACACGAUGCUUAGAGAAGUAAAACAGGCCACGUUUACAGACAGACGUGUCUUCCAGGGGUUCUGAAAAUUCUGCGAUUAACGUGAGUGUGGUCAGCGUUGGAGUAUUGGUGAGAAAGUGACAUCAUCAUCUGAACAUGGAACUGUGGCGAUGAACCGGGAGGGGUGGAGGUGGUUUGUGGGUAGGUGGAUAAUCCCUCAUUAAUCCGUGGCACUUAACCCAACUCUGACUGCAUCCUUUGUGUGUCUGCAGAGGGAAAGUGGUUCUCAGUGGUCCAGGGGUCAGAGGCAGGUCUGAUUGAGGACAUUCCCCAGG